AUGGGCAUGGGGUGGAAAGUUCUGACCGAUGUGAAGCCAUACCUGGCGAUGGUGCUGCUGCAGGUGGGGUUCGCCGGGAUGUACAUCAUCGCCGUGGCGUCCCUCAAGGCCGGGAUGAGCCACUUCGUCCUCGUCGUCUACCGUAACCUCGUCGCCACCGCCGUCAUGACGCCCUUCGCCCUCUACUUCGAGAGGGGACGGAGGCCAAAGAUGACAACCAGCAUCGUCCUCAAGAUCAUGGGGCUCGCAAUCCUCGAGCCCGUGAUUGACCAGAACCUCUACUUCUUGGGCGCGAAGCUGACCUCGGCGGGAUUCGCGACGGCGCUCCUCAACACCCUCCCGGCCAUCACCUUCUUGCUGGCCCUCAUCCUGCGCAUGGAGAAGGUGCGGCUGCGCAGCCUGCACAGCCAGGCCAAGAUCGCUGGCACGGUCCUCACGGUGGCCGGCGCCGUGCUGAUGAUGCUUUACCACGGCCCCGCCAUGCAGUUCCCGUGGACCAAGGGACAGCACGACGCCACUGCCGCCGUUGGCGCCGUCGCCCCGCGGGACUGGCUGAAAGGGACCAUGAUGCUCAUCGGCUCCUGCAUGGUCUGGUCGUGCUUCUUCAUUCUCCAGUCCAGCACGCUGCGGAGCUACCCGGCGGAGCUCUCCGUCACGGCGCUCAUCUGCGGCAUGGGCUCGCUGAUGAGCGCCGCCGUCGCCCUCGUCGCUGAGCGCGCCAACACACAGGCCUGGGUUAUCGGCUUCGAUAACCGCCUCUUGACCGUGGUCUACGCCGGCAUAGUGUGCUCCGGCGUGGCCUACUACUUGCAGGGCGUCGUGUCGAGGCAAAGGGGCCCAGUGUUCGUCACGGCAUUCAACCCGCUCUGCAUGAUCAUUACCGCAGUCAUGGGCUCCAUCAUUCUAAAGGAGGAGAUCACUCUCGGAAGUGUGAUUGGUGCAGUGAUCAUCGUGGCAGGCCUGUACUUCCUCAUCUGGGGCAAGAGUAAGGACGACAUCAGCCAAGUCUCCGACGUGACCGUCAAGGUCGCCGGCGAGCUGCCCUUAACCUCGGUGACCAACGGCCACGGCCACGGCAAGCAGCACGAGCUCGGCAACGGCAACGGCGGCCAUGUCGACGUCGAGACGCCCGCGACCAAUGGGCACUAUUAG
rnacentral:rRNA from 1 species